rnacentral:RNase_P_RNA from 1 species
CCAAGGUGCUUGAACGCAUUCGCCCGACUUUUUUGCCGGGAGGAAAGUCCGGACACCACAGGGCAGGAUUCCGCGUGAAAGCGCGGGCGCCGUCUUUCAAAAAGGGCGGCGACGGAAAGUGUCGCAGAAAAUAAACCGCCGGAGCGUUCGCGUUUCGGCACGGGUGAAAAGGUGGGGUAAAAGCCCACCGCAGCGGCAGUAAUGCUGUUGGCAGGACAAACCCAAUCCGGUGCAAGGCAAAAUAGGGAAGCGGGCGGCUCGUCCAAUGCUUCCGGGUAUGCCGCACCGCCGCGAGGCGGAAUCGGCGGGGCAACCCGCUGGUUAGAGGAAUGAAUGCGGUCGGCUUCGCUUGCGUCGCCGACACAGAAUCCGGCUUACGGCACCUUGGUCUC